ensembl:lncRNA
CAGCUGUUUUCGCUAAUGUGCGUGCAGGGACGGGAGAGAAGGCAGAAGAAGAUGGCAGGGCGGCAGCGGCGGGGUGUAGCUGAGGAUGUGCAGGUGCAGAGCGAACGUGACAGAAAGGCAUUUUCACAGCUGUCUCGCUGAGUUAUGUAAAGAAGAACUGGGUGUUAACAUCACAUCACCAGGCAUAAAAUCUUCAAAAUUGAGCUAAACAGCAGAUUGUUCUAAAAACAAGAUAAAGCUGGAGGUUUCACUAGUUUCCUGCAACACCCAAUUCAAAGCGAACAGGACCCAGUCAGAUGAGGGGGGAGACAGAUAGGAAGAAGAAGAGGAGGAGGGAGAAGAGAGGAGCUUUAUGUCAGCCCGCUCUCCUCAGUCACGGCCAGUUAGUUAAAGCAAACGCAGGCGGACCCUUGAGAAAACGCGAGGCGGCGGAGAGUGCCAAUCACGGCCGAGCCCUGGGCAUUCCCUGGUACAGCUCGCCUUGAGCAACUUUUUAUUAAUUUAAUAAACAUCCCACAGAGACGGAGCGAUGUGGACUUACGUACCCUUGCAGACAACAGCACUGCUUGGGCCUAAUGAGAUGUGCUACUCACACACACACACACACACACACA